rnacentral:lncRNA from 1 species
GCUAGGUCAAAAUUGCGUCUUUUGGUUCUUUUCUCUUCUCUUGCUCUUUCUUAUCGCCACCACCGCCGUCAAAAUAAGAGAUUGGGGGAAGGUUUGAGGCUCAUGUAAAGUAAUUUGUUGGUGGAAACUAAAGUUUCAAUAAAUUAAAAUUUAUUGGUGGGCGGCGGAUCUAGAGAAGAUGGUGGUGUUGGUGAAGGAGAGGUGAGAUGGUGGUGAGCUGCGGCGGAGCCGAAGCGGCAACCCGGUGGAGAUAUGGUGGAUGAGUGCUGAGAAUUGGGUGGG